UCGCAACUUGUCGCGGCAUCCCCGGACCUCGUCCUCAUCGUCGUCGUCGUCGUUGUCGUCGUCUUGUCUAUAUGUCUACUACUUGCAACUACAACAACUGUAACAGUCAUCCAACCACACCACAACCACACCAUCCUACCAUCCUAACUGGGCAUGUCCAUGUCUAUAUCUUCAACAGCAGCAGCAGCUACUUCCUACACCCCAUAACUAGCAGGAAUCAUCUGCCUCCGUCUGGGUCUUCAAGCGGAACAGUUCGAUGUCGCCCUUUCAUCCCAGGAUUUAGAGACCAGAUUUGGAAUAUUGCGAGAAAAUAAUAAUGACUUACCACACACACACACAUUAAUAUUCAUCCAUAACAUAUAGCGUAUAUAACCUCGAGACUACAGAUAUUUAGUUGUAACGUAGCUUAGUCUUAACUGAAGAAUCAAGAAAACAGAAGAGAAGAUCCGUCUCCGUCAGGAGAAAGUGAGGCCGGCCGAUACGGAGCAAGUGAAGAACACAAGAGGAUAUCCAGGAGACAUUGUCAUCUAAAGCCAGGGCUAAGGAAUUUUUAUUUCAUUUCGAUCGGUCCCCAGUCGGAACGGUCACUCAGUCAGCUGCAGCCACAACUUGAGAGAAUAAAAACGCUUUAAUAAUUUUUAAAUUAAAUACAAAAGGUUAAAUUUAAAACAAACAAAAAAUUAUGGCGCACACAGUGUGCUUGAAAAAAAAAAAACAAAAACUUAAACGAGUUAAGUAAACAAAGAAGCUGGCAGAUCUUACGAUGAAUAAAGUGUGUAAUGAGAAGAAACGAGUUAAAAGCCCCCACUCCCAAAAAUCCCAAUCGAGGACACUUGUGCGUGUUGGCCAGUGAGAGAUCCAUGGGCCAGGUCCUCCCGCCCGCUAAGCGAGCUUGCGAUCCAGUAGCUUCGCGAUGUUAGGCGUCCUUACCGUAGACAUGUCUCUAGAUAUUUAUAUAUUAUAUACACGUGUAUAAUUGUUGUACAAUCAGAGCGACGACGUGCAACAAUAAACCGCCAACCGCCCGCCCCCGACCAGAACUCAAGGUGUACUAGAACCAGAUAUAGAUAAUUGGGAACCAGAACCAGAAUCGCAACACAUUAUGCUCUCACCCAUCCAUCCAUCCAUCCAUUACGACUCCCAUUACUCGCUACUCAGAUAAUGAAGAUGAAAACUCUAAAAUAUUAAACAUUAAAGCAAGUAAAAGAAACAUUUGAAACGCAGCAAGAAAUAUAUAAAGUAAAAAAAUAAAAUACAAAAACAAAAAAGUCUAAAUGUUUAAAAUUAAGCCACAUAAAACAAAAAAGAAAAAUUGAAAAAAAAAAUCAACUAAAUUUGUGUGUAUAAAACGUAUAGAACUUAGCAUUAAAAAAAAAAAACUGAAGAAGACGAUGUCGGAGGAGUUGAAGAUGAAAAAACUAUAUAUACACAAAGAUUGAAGCAUUAUACUUACCAAGAGCAGAACAAAGAGAAUAUCAGCAAGCCAACUAAGUAUAAUAAUUUGAAAAACAAAAAAAAACUUAAACAACAAAUUUAUAAACAAGAAGAGAGAAGAUUUAAGAAGAGAAAAGGCAACUUUAGCAGUUACGAUUAUAUUCAAGAAGAUAUCGAUCGGAAUAUAUAUAUUUAUUGUUUCGUUAUGUGAGGAGAGGAGUGGAAAUCAUUUUAAUUAGGCUGAGAAAAAGAUUUGAAUGAUUUGAUUAUAAUUUUUUUUUUUAAUUAUUUGAAUGACACUUCUCCGUAUUCCUUUCCCUGUUAUUAUUUAUUUUUAAAAGUCAAGACUUUUAAAUUAUGUUGUUGUUGUGAGAAGAGAGAUAUAUAUAUAUACAGAGCUAGAGCCACUCGGGAUCGUAACAAUUAAAAUUAAUUUAUAAAUACUUUUUAUGUUUUCUAUGAUUAUUUGUUCAACUAGUUGCGAGACAAAAGUCAUAAAUAGGCAUUAAUUAAGCAUCUAAUUUAAUAAUAAAUAAACGUAAAUGAAAAAAAAAUCAACAAAAAAAAAUUGAAAAUUCAUCGACUAAGAAGACGAUGAUGUUUGUAGCCACGAAAUGUUCACAUCACAUCCAAAAUGUCUCCCGCUGGAAAAAUAUAUGUAUGUGUUUGUCCUUCUAGUUUGCGCCAAGGCCUCUGGGUCCUUGGUCCUUUUGAUUUUCGUCCUACUCCCCAAUCUACACACACACACACACACACACCUAAGCAUAUGCAUAGUCUACGGUAGUCUGAGCGUAACACUUUAAUGUGGAAUAUAUAUAACUAAUCACGUACGAUUAUAUAUAUUCGAUUCGUAUGUGCAGGAGAUCGGAGCAAGUCGGAGGAAG